rnacentral:rRNA from 1 species
CACGUAGGGUGCGAGCGUUGUCCGGAAUUAUUGGGCGUAAAGAGCUCGUAGGCGGUCUGUCGCGUCGGUAGUGAAAACUCAGGGCUUAACCCUGAGCCUGCUUCCGAUACGGGCAGACUAGAGGUAUGCAGGGGAGAAUGGAAUUCCUGGUGUAGCGGUGAAAUGCGCAGAUAUCAGGAGGAACACCGGUGGCGAAGGCGGUUCUCUGGGCAUUACCUGACGCUGAGGAGCGAAAGUGUGGGGAGCGAAACAGG